rnacentral:rRNA from 1 species
CCUACGGGGGGCAGCAGUGGGGAAUAUUGGACAAUGGGGGGAACCCUGAUCCAGCCAUGCCGCGUGUGUGAAGAAGGCCCUCGGGUUGUAAAGCACUUUCAGUGAGGAAGAACGCCUGGUGGUUAAUACCCAUCAGGAAAGACAUCACUCACAGAAGAAGCACCGGCUAACUCCGUGCCAGCAGCCGCGGUAAUACGGAGGGUGCGAGCGUUAAUCGGAAUUACUGGGCGUAAAGGGCGCGUAGGUGGCUUGAUAAACCGGUUGUGAAAGCCCCGGGCUCAACCUGGGAACGGCAUCCGGAACUGUCAAGCUAGAGUGCAGGAGAGGAAGGUAGAAUUCCCGGUGUAGCGGUGAAAUGCGUAGAGAUCGGGAGGAAUACCAGUGGCGAAGGCGGCCUUCUGGACUGACACUGACACUGAGGUGCGAAAGCGUGGGUAGCAAACAGGAUUAGAUACCCGAGUAGUC